ensembl:lncRNA
AUGGGGCUAAUUCCACUCUACCGGCCCUGCGGGUGUCGUCGUGAGGAGGGCUUUAACCGGGCACUUGUAGACUCUCCGAUAUGUCAACAAGCUAAGCGUUGCAUUCAUUUAAAACAUGUGAAUAAAUGCAGCUGCAUCUGGCCGUACGAACAAUCAAAGGGAGACUGCGGUGCUAAACCAGAGGGAACAUCCGUAUCCUAUCUCGACACUGUUUGUCUCUCUCCGUCUCCACCACCGUCACCUCUGGAUCCAGCCUGGUGCCACCAUGCAGACGAAACUUCCGUCACACCUGUCUCCAGCCAAAGGUUUGGUGGUUUCCCGUCUCGUUGUAAGCGGGAGCUUUGUGCCGAGCGUUCGAGGCCCCCGCCGCAUUCUGGGCUUCUAUUUCUAGGCCAUAGGAGCCUAGAAAGGUGUGCCACGCUUAGGGCUCUUGGUGGAAAAGUACAGAAACCAUUCCCGGUGAACCUGGGCAGAAACACUUUGUUACGAGGGCAUUUUGUAGCUCCCAGAAUGACCGGGAAGGCUACGGAACCAGGCUUGGACAUGGACAGGACCCAGGGCACUAGGUGUCUGCCCGGGGGCCAUCUUGUUGGAACGCCACCAUAGAUGCUUGCUGUCCACCCUUCCACAUAGCAGCUGCGAUCGAUGAUCUUUGUAAAACUUAACUCUGACUGUGAAACUCCCCUGCUGCUACGUCGUAAGGAAUUUCUUUGGUCUCUGUCCCAGGUUCCUAGCGUGGAGCUUCUAAAACCCACCGGAUUUCCCAAGUGAUGGGAGUGCCACUGUUUCGUGGUGGUUCUUGAUGGUUUAUGCUGAUGAGAUAGCCCACCCCAGAAACACCAAGCCUGUGGUCAGUCGGGCUGUGAGCACGUGGUGCCAGCCUGCCCUCGGGGGAGGAGAGGCUGUUGAAGGUGCAGUCCAGGGGCGCCUGGGGGGCUCAGUCCGUUGACCGUCCGACUUCGGCUCUGGUCACGAUCUCGUGCUCCAUGAGUUCAAGCCCCGCGUCGGGCUCUGUGCUGACAGCUCAGAGCCUGGAGCCUGUUUCGGAUUCUGUGUCUCCCUCUCUCUCUUCUUCUCCCCCCUCUGUGUUCUAUCAAAAAUAAAUAAACAUGGGGCGCCUGGGUGGCUCA